UACGUAGGGUGCAAGCGUUAAUCGGAAUUACUGGGCGUAAAGCGUGCGCAGGCGGCUUUGCAAGACAGAUGUGAAAUCCCCGGGCUUAACCUGGGAACUGCAUUUGUGACUGCAUGGCUGGAGUGCGGCAGAGGGGGAUGGAAUUCCGCGUGUAGCAGUGAAAUGCGUAGAUAUCGUAAGGAAGACCAGUGGCGAAGGCGAGUCUCUGGACAGUUACUGACGCUGAGGCACGAAGGCCAGGGGAGCAAACGGG
rnacentral:rRNA from 1 species